rnacentral:rRNA from 1 species
UACGGAGGGGACUAGCGUUGUUCGGAAUUACUGGGCGUAAAGCGCACGUAGGCGGAUUUGUAAGUCAGGGGUGAAAUCCCGAGGCUCAACCUCGGAACUGCCUUUGAUACUGCAAAUCUCGAGUCCGGAAGAGGUGAGUGGAAUUCCUAGUGUAGAGGUGAAAUUCGUAGAUAUUAGGAGGAACACCGGUGGCGAAGGCGGUUCUCUGGGCAUUACCUGACGCUGAGGAGCGAAAGUGUGGGGAGCGAACAGG